rnacentral:rRNA from 1 species
GAUGAACGCUGGCGGCGUGCCUAACACAUGCAAGUCGAACGGAGUUAAGAAGUUUUCGGACUAAUUAGCUUAGUGGCGGACGGGUGAGUAACGCGUGGGUAACCUGCCUCAUACAGGGGGAUAACAGUUGGAAACGACUGCUAAAACCGCAUAAUAUUACGUCAUCGCAUGAUGAUGUGAUGAAAUAUUAUAUAGGUAUGAGAUGGGCCCGCGUCUGAUUAGCUGGUUGGCGGGGUAACGGCCCACCAAGGCGACGAUCAGUAGCCGGCUUGAGAGAGUGACCGGCCACAUUGGGACUGAGACACGGCCCAAACUCCUACGGGAGGCAGCAGUGGGGAAUAUUGCACAAUGGGGGAAACCCUGAUGCAGCGACGCCGCGUGAGUGAAGAAGUAUUUCGGUAUGUAAAGCUCUAUCAGCAGGGAAGAAAAUGACGGUACCUGACUAAGAAGCCCCGGCUAACUACGUG